GAUGAACGCUGACAGAAUGCUUAACACAUGCAAGUCAACUUGAACUUCGGUUUGGGUGGCGGACGGGUGAGUAACGCGUAAAGAACUUGCCUCACAGAUAGGGACAACAUUUGGAAACGAAUGCUAAUACCUGAUAUUAUGAUUUUAGGGCAUCCUAGGAUUAUGAAAGCUAUAUGCGCUGUGAGAGAGCUUUGCGUCCCAUUAGCUAGUUGGAGAGGUAACGGCUCACCAAGGCGAUGAUGGGUAGCCGGCCUGAGAGGGUGAUCGGCCACAAGGGGACUGAGACACGGCCCUUACUCCUACGGGAGGCAGCAGUGGGGAAUAUUGGACAAUGGACCAAGAGUCUGAUCCAGCAAUUCUGUGUGCACGAUGAAGUUUUUCGGAAUGUAAAGUGCUUUCAGUUGGGAAGAAAAAAAUGACGGUACCAACAGAAGAAGUGACGGCUAAAUACGUGCCAGCAGCCGCGGUAAUACGUAUGUCACAAGCGUUAUCCGGAUUUAUUGGGCGUAAAGCGCGUCUAGGUGGUUAUGUAAGUCUGAUGUGAAAAUGCAGGGCUCAACUCUGUAUUGCGUUGGAAACUGUAUAACUAGAGUACUGGAGAGGUAAGCGGAACUACAAGUGUAGAGGUGAAAUUCGUAGAUAUUUGUAGGAAUGCCGAUGGGGAAGCCAGCUUACUGGACAGAUACUGACGCUGAAGCGCGAAAGCGUGGGUAGCAAACAGG
rnacentral:rRNA from 1 species